rnacentral:rRNA from 1 species
CAGCGCCACAAGUAGCAAUCGGAUAUUGGGCCUAAAGCGUCCGUAGCCGGUUUAGCAAAUCCUUUGUGAAAUUGUCAAGCUUAACUUGACGAAUGGCAGAGGACACUACUAAACUCGAGACCGGGAGGGGUCAGAAGUAUUCAAGGGGGACCGGUAAAAUGGUAUAAUCCCUCGAAGACUACCAAUGGCGAAGGCAUCUGACCAGAACGGAUCUGACGGUGAGGGACGAAAGCUAGGGGAGCGAACCGGAUUAGAUACCCGAGUAGUCC